rnacentral:rRNA from 1 species
CCUACGGGUGGCAGCAGUGAGGAAUAUUGGUCAAUGGACGAGAGCCUGAACCAGCCAAGUAGCGUGAAGGAUGAAGGCCCUAUGGGUGGUAAACUUCUUUUAUAGGGGAAUAAAAUGUGGCACGUGUGGGAUUUUGUAUGUACCAUAUGAAUAAGGAUCGGCUAACUCCGUGCCAGCAGCCGCGGUAAUACGGAGGAUCCGAGCGUUAUGCGGAUUUAGUGGGUUUAAAGGGCGCGUAGGGGGAUUGUUAAGUCAGUUGUGAAAGUUUGCGGCUCAACCGUAAAAUUGCAGUUGAAACUGGCAUUCUUGAGUACGGUAGAGGUGGGCUGAAUUCGUGGUGUAGCGGUGAAAUCCUU